rnacentral:rRNA from 1 species
GAUGAACGCUGGCGGCGUGCCUAAUACAUGCAAGUCGAGCGAACAGACGAGAAGCUUGCUCCUCUGACGUUCGCGACGGACGGGUGAGUAACACGUGGAUAACCUACCUAUAAGACUGGGAUAACUUCGGGAAACCGUAUCUAAUACCGGAUAAUAUAUUUAACCGCAUGGUUCAAUAGUGAAAGACGGUUUUGCUGUCACUUAUAGAUUAAUCCGCGCCGCAUUAGCUAGUUGGUAAGGUAACGGCUUACCAAGGCAACGAUGCGUAUCCGACCUGAGAGGGUGAUCGGCCACACUGGAACUGAGACACGGUCCAGACUCCUACGGGAGGCAGCAGUAGGGAAUCUUCCGCAAUGGGCGAAAGCCUGACGGAGCAACGCCGCGUGAGUGAUGAAGGUCUUCGGAUCGUAAAACUCUGUUAUUAGGGAAGAACAAAUGUGUAAGUAACUAUGCACGUCUUGACGGUACCUAAUCAGAAAGCCACGGCUAACUACGUG